rnacentral:rRNA from 1 species
CCUACGGGGGGCAGCAGUGGGGAAUAUUGGACAAUGGGCGAAAGCCUGAUCCAGCCAUGCCGCGUGUGUGAAGAAGGCCUUCGGGUUGUAAAGCACUUUCAGUGGGGAAGAAAGCCUUGGGGCUAAUACCCUCGAGGAAGGACAUCACCCACAGAAGAAGCACCGGCUAACUCCGUGCCAGCAGCCGCGGUAAUACGGAGGGUGCGAGCGUUAAUCGGAAUUACUGGGCGUAAAGCGCGCGUAGGCGGUCUGAUAAGCCGGUUGUGAAAGCCCCGGGCUCAACCUGGGAACGGCAUCCGGAACUGUCAGGCUAGAGUGCAGGAGAGGAAGGUAGAAUUCCCGGUGUAGCGGUGAAAUGCGUAGAGAUCGGGAGGAAUACCAGUGGCGAAGGCGGCCUUCUGGACUGACACUGACGCUGAGGUGCGAAAGCGUGGGUAGCAAACAGUAUUAGAUACCCUUGUAGUC